AGAAAGCAAGUGCUCCCAGGAAGCUAGCUCCAGUUUUUUUCCUGUUCUGAGCAGAAGCUACCAUUUUAUUUUAUCUUUUUUCUGAAGUUGUUUAAGCUUUGUUACAACAGUUUGGUUGUGGUUAAGCCAUGCACUGAGUGCCGUGGGACUUGUUAAUGCCAAAGGAAAAUUAACUUCAUUAAUGACUGAUGCUGGGCAGUGUUUUACUCUGCAACCUUCCCUGUCGUGGACCACUGAGUGAGGAGCACUCUUCGGAGGAGAUCUCUUUCAGCACUGCAGCGUCUUUGGAUCUCCUCUCCCUCUCUCUCACUGAGUGUCUGCUUUGUGGAUUAUGUUCCCUGGAGAUAUUAGUGUAUAUAUUUUCCAUAUAUGAAGAUAAUAAAUGGAAGAAGCGGAGAUGAAAAGGAAAAAACAAUUACUCGAGAGCGGAAAUAGAAAGAGUUACAAAGGAAAGACUGACAGGGAGAUAAAGGUGUUAGUCCUUCCUAAGCAGGAUCCUCUGAUCCAGUUUGCUGCCUGCUGCAGCCAAGUGGAUGUCCCAAGGAGUCCAUGG